UAUGACCUUCCAUCGCAUGGUGGUUGGUGGAAAGCUUUUGUGGUUUUGGAUGGACUCGCGGCCUAUCAGCUUGUUGGUGGGGUAAUGGCCUACCAAGGCGACGACGGGUAGCCGGCCUGAGAGGGUGACCGGCCACACUGGGACUGAGACACGGCCCAGACUCCUACGGGAGGCAGCAGUGGGGAAUAUUGCACAAUGGGCGAAAGCCUGAUGC
rnacentral:rRNA from 1 species